CUUCAAAUGAUGAUUUUGUUUGUAUAAAUUCAUGACUUCACAUCAAAUUAUAGCUCACUUCAAACAUCAAAGGCAAAGUUGCUAUUGACAUUGUUGAUUUAAAGAUGAUUAAGAUUUCUUUCACAAUCAUUUUUGCUUUUGCUCUUAUCUUUACAGUUAUUUCAAGGACAAGUGGAGCAAUGAUGACAGAUAACAAAUGUUUGAAAGUGUUGGAUCCUAAUAAUUGUGACCUCACAAAAUGUCGGGUUAAUUGCAUUCAACAAUAUCAAGGAAUUGGACAUUGCAUGGGCAGAAAUCCUUACAAAUGUAUUUGCAUAUAUGAUUGUUCUCCUUAGAAUGAUAUAUCAAUUGUUCCAAUUUGAAUACAAAAGAUAAUAAAAAAGGUUAAUAUAUUUAUGGCCAA